CCAGCGCCACCGCGCGUCCUCCGAAGAGAACUGCGGCAAUACCAGUGUACUGGUUUCGCCGCUGUUGCUAGUUGAGUGAAUGUCACCGAAAUAUAUGAGUCAUGCUAGCUUGGGAACGAGCUUGCUAGAAGAGCAGAUGUUGAAGCGGCUGCCAGCCACGUUCACUGCAGCGGAGGAUGGCGAUGUUGCUCCCUUCCUUCCCAAUCUGUUGUCCUAUUACGAGAAAUAAAACCACAUGCCUUGGGCCAGCAGGAGCGUAGAUGACGUUGAUUCCUGGGUCCGCAGAAAGAACUUGACACUCUUUUCUAGAGCAGGGGAGGACAUCUUUAAAAAGAAUCACCACAUUGCAAGAGACAAAAUUCAAAUGCUUCAUCAGAAGAACCCAUACUCAUUUUCAUGUGAGAAAGACAAAGACACAGAAAUGAACACACAUGUAUUAUUUUCAACUUGAUUUUUGCAAAUGAAAAAAUGUAUAAAAUCCAUUCAAUUAUUAAAGGAGAUACAGGAAGUUACAAGA